GCCAGCCCUACACACUGUUCAUCAAGCCCUGCUGUGGCAGCUUCCCACAUUCCCAUAUACAGAAAGUUUGGCACAGAUGUUAGUUCAGGGACAAUCUUCCUCACCAAAAUUUUUCUAUAUGGUGAAAAUGCUUUAUAAUCUGUGAAUCACCCCAAAUUAUGAGCCUCCUAACUCUCCAAACAAGUGAUGGACUCGAUGUUCUUAUCUAAUGAGUUACCAGUUGGCCUUGUCCUUAGUUAUACAAGGACCAAUGACUCGCACACUAGAUUAGGCAGAUCUUCCUGGGAGUCAAGAAUUUGAGUUGACGCCUUUGUCCCACAGCAAGCAACAGACUCCAACUCGGUGAUUCAGAGAUUGCCGAAAUGCGGUCGUCGGACCAGCUGCAUUAAAAUCACGCAAGUCGUUUACUGAGUUAACGUCCAAGUUAUCGCCGCCACCCCCGGGUAAGUCAAUCAGAAUUCCGGGUGCGGGCCUCAGAAUUUGCAAGUUUAACAUUUCUCCAAAUGAUGUUGGGGAUAAACUAACGUUUGAAAAUCACAAAGAUGUUGGCUAGGCGAGACUGGAGAACACCAGAAACUGUGGAUAGUUCUUCAAAGGAGACUAAGGUUGGUGGGAUGUCGAACAGGGGACACCAGAGAGGAGAGGGAGAACUCUUCGGGGUGUUUCUAUCAAGACAUAAAUCCCCAAUUACACCACAUCCCUCACUCCGCCGACGUCCCACCACCGUCCGACGUCCCACCACCGGCGGGGCAACCAGCCCGCAGGGCUGUCCCCGCCACGUGACCCUUGCCUGGGGCACGCGGCGCAGACGACCCCGACUGGCGUGGGACGCUGCGAGUCAGGCUCCGCGCAGCGGAAGCUGGGAGAGUGGUUUCCGCUGCCAGCACCCAAGAUGGAGGCACGAGUAUCGCCACCACACCAAACACACGCUCUGUGCCCCGCCUCGGCUUCCUCGGGUCUCAGCGGACUUCUGCAAGUCACCGUGGGAAGCCUCCAGCGGGUGAUUCUGCGCUCCGCCGGCGAUACCACCUCCUAUGCCCGGCCCGAGGCCCUCAUUCCCCAGCCGCAGAAUGCACUGGAAGCGCUCAGCCUGCACACUCCACUCCGCGCCCAGCCAGUAAUACCACCCACGGCCGGCGCACGGCGGCGGUGUCCAGAAUGCCGGGCGAUAGGGCCUUCGUCCCACUUAUUGGUG
rnacentral:lncRNA from 1 species